UGGGGAAUAUUGCACAAUGGGCGAAAGCCUGAUGCAGCAACGCCGCGUGAGUGAUGAAGGCCUUCGGGUUGUAAAGCUCUGUCUUUUGGGACGAUAAUGACGGUACCAAAGGGAGGAAGCCACGGCUAACUACGUGCCAGCAGCCGCGGUAAUACGUAGGUGGCAAGCGUUGUCCGGAUUUACUGGGCGUAAAGGAUGCGUAGGCGGAUUUUUAAGUGAGAUGUGAAAACCCUAAGCUUAACUUGGGGACUGCAUUUCAUACUGGAAAUCUAGAGUGCGGGAGAGGAGAAUGGAAUUCCUAGUGUAGCGGUGAAAUGCGUAGAGAUUAGGAAGAACACCAGUGGCGAAGGCGAUUCUCUGGACCGUAACUGACGCUGAGGCAUGAAAGCGUGGGGUAGCAAACAGGAUUAGAUACCCUGGUAGUCCACGCCGUAAACGAUGAGUACUAGAUGUAGGAGGUAUCGACCCCUUCUGUGCCGCAGUUAACACAAUAAGUACUCCGCCUGGGAAGUACGAUCGCAAGAUUAAAACUCAAAGGAAUUGACGGGGUCAUAGCUGUUUCCU
rnacentral:rRNA from 1 species